AUUUAAAUAAGAUUAGAUGUAACUAACUUCUUCAUAACUUGCAUCACAUACAACAAUAUCUAGGGUUUCAAGAUCUAGGAUUUUGCAAGAAAAUAAAUUUUCUCUUUUCACUUUCUUCUUCAUGGGAUCUCAUAAUGGCACCCCUACACAUCAUGAAGAGCACCCCAUUGAAUGAGAGGAGAGGGUCAUGAAACCCUACUUGCUC
rnacentral:lncRNA from 1 species